GAUGAAGAACGCAGCGAAAUGCGAUACGUAAUGUGAAUUGCAGAAUUCAGUGAAUUAUCGAGUCUUUGAACGCACAUUGCGCCCCCUGGUAUUCCGGGGGGCAUGCCUGUCCGAGCGUCAUUGCUGCCCUCAAGCACGGCUUGUGUGUUGGGCCUCCGUCCUCCUCCCGGGGGACGGGCCCGAAAGGCAGCGGCGGCACCGCGUCCGGUCCUCGAGCGUAUGGGGCUUCGUCACCCGCUCUUGUAGGCCCGGCCGGCGCUUGCCGACACAUCAAUCUUUUUUCCAGGUUGACCUCGGAUCAGGUAGGGAUACCCGCUGAACUUAAGCAUAUCAAUAAGCGGAGGA
rnacentral:misc_RNA from 1 species